CGGGGGUGAGGCCGAGUUUUCGGGGCGAACACCAGAGGGCGACGCCGUCGCAGGGCCAACCCUCUUCCAGGCUUCAUUCGCGCUGCGAGCCGUGCACCUUGCUGAUCGUCGUGCACUUGUCGAAUAAAAUUAUCCGCUCGAGAGGCUAACGAUAGAAGACAAAAAUAUAUAUACAAGUAUCAUUCUCCGCUAGAAACGACGGGGGGGGGGCUGAAAAAAAUUUUGUUUUUUUUUUUUACUUCUUCUUUUUUACCAAAAAACCGUAUAAAUCGACCACGAAUAACGAGAGUUUUUUACCGGAAAUAAAGACGAAAAGAAGGACGAAAAUUUAUCGAAAAAAACAGUUUCGUUCGUCGUAUACCAAUCUCAUUUUUUUACGAUAUGUGUGUCAGUGAAAUUUUGACGACGACUGAACCGAAUGUGCGAUAAGAAGAUGGGAUUGUUUUUUGAUCUUCGUUAAAGAGAAAAAAAAAAAAAAAAAAAAACGGAAAUCAAAAAAAUCAGAGACACAGAGAAACUAGAUAAC
rnacentral:misc_RNA from 1 species